UAGAGUUUGAUCAUGGCUCAGAUUGAACGCUGGCGGCAGGCCUAACACAUGCAAGUCGAGCGGUAACAGAUUGAUAGCUUGCUAUCAAUGCUGACGAGCGGCGGACGGGUGAGUAAUGCCUGGGAAUAUGCCCUGAUGUGGGGGAUAACUAUUGGAAACGAUAGCUAAUACCGCAUAAUCUCUUCGGAGCAAAGAGGGGGACCUUCGGGCCUCUCGCGUCAGGAUUAGCCCAGGUGGGAUUAGCUUGUUGGUGAGGUAAUGGCUCACCAAGGCAACGAUCCCUAGCUGGUCUGAGAGGAUGAUCAGCCACACUGGAACUGAGACACGGUCCAGACUCCUACGGGAGGCAGCAGUGGGGAAUAUUGCACAAUGGGGGAAACCCUGAUGCAGCCAUGCCGCGUGUAUGAAGAAGGCCUUCGGGUUGUAAAGUACUUUCAGUUGUGAGGAAGGCGUUGAAGUUAAUAGCUUCAACGUUUGACGUUAGCAACAGAAGAAGCACCGGCUAACUCCGUGCCAGCAGCCGCGGUAAUACGGAGGGUGCGAGCGUUAAUCGGAAUUACUGGGCGUAAAGCGCAUGCAGAUGGUCUGUUAAGCAAGAUGUGAAAGCCCAGGGCUCAACCUCGGAACAGCAUUUUGAACUGGCAGACUAGAGUACUGUAGAGGAGGGUAGAAUUUCA
rnacentral:rRNA from 1 species